AGAGUUUGAUCCUGGCUCAGAACGAACGCUGGCGGCAGGCUUAACACAUGCAAGUCGAGCGCCCCGCAAGGGGAGCGGCAGACGGGUGAGUAACGCGUGGGAAUCUACCCAUCUCUACGGAACAACUCCGGGAAACUGGAGCUAAUACCGUAUACGUCCUUCGGGAGAAAGAUUUAUCGGAGAUGGAUGAGCCCGCGUUGGAUUAGCUAGUUGGUGGGGUAAUGGCCUACCAAGGCGACGAUCCAUAGCUGGUCUGAGAGGAUGAUCAGCCACACUGGGACUGAGACACGGCCCAGACUCCUACGGGAGGCAGCAGUGGGGAAUAUUGGACAAUGGGCGCAAGCCUGAUCCAGCCAUGCCGCGUGAGUGAUGAAGGCCCUAGGGUUGUAAAGCUCUUUCAACGGUGAAGAUAAUGACGGUAACCGUAGAAGAAGCCCCGGCUAACUUCGUGCCAGCAGCCGCGGUAAUACGAAGGGGGCUAGCGUUGUUCGGAAUUACUGGGCGUAAAGCGCACGUAAGGCGGACAUUUAAGUCAGGGGUGACAAUCCCGAGGCUCAACCUCGGAACUGCCUUGAUUACUGGGGUUGUCUCNAAGUCCG
rnacentral:rRNA from 1 species